rnacentral:rRNA from 1 species
AAACUAACAAGGAUUCCCCUAGUAACGGCGAGUGAAGCGGGAAGAGCUCAAAUUUGAAAUCUAAUGGCCUCAGGUCAUUCGAGUUGUAAUCUAUAGGAACGUUUUCCGUGCCGGCUCAUGUACAAGUCCCUUGGAACAGGGCGUCAUAGAGGGUGAGAAUCCCGUACUUGACAUGAACUACCGGUGCUCUGUGAUACGUCUCCAACGAGUCGAGUUGUUUGGGAAUGCAGCUCAAAAUGGGUGGUAAAUUCCAUCUAAAGCUAAAUAUUGGUGUGAGACCGAUAGCGAACAAGUACCGUGAGGGAAAGAUGAAAAGCACUUUGGAAAGAGAGUUAAAAAGUAUGUGAAAUUGUUGAAAGGGAAACGAUUGAAGUCAGUCAUGUCCUUCAGAUUCAGCUGGUUCUGCCGGUGUAUUUCUGUUGGAUGGGGUCAACAUCAGUUUUGGAUGCCGGAUAAAGGCAGGAGGAAGGUAGUACUCUCGGGUAAACUUAUAGCCUCCUGCUGCAUACGGUGACUGGGACUGAGGAACGCAGCUUGCCUUUAUGGCCGGGGUUCGCCCACGUACAAGCUUAGGAUGUUGACAUAAUGGCUUUAAACGAC